GCCUGCAUGAAGUCGGAAUUGCUAGUAAUCGCGGAUCAGCAUGCCGCGGUGAAUACGUUCCCGGGCCUUGUACACACCGCCCGUCACACCAUGGGAGCCGGUAAUACCCGAAGUCAGUAGUCCAACCACGUGAGGACGCUGCCGAAGGUAGGAUUGGCGACUGGGGUGAAGUCGUAACAAGGUAGC
rnacentral:rRNA from 1 species